GGGACUGGGGACCUUGUAGUGGACAACACCUGACGCUGCAUCUGUGACACCUCACGUUGUCCCGACAAAAAGACAUCUACUUCUCUCACAGAGCUUUUCAAAAGGAAUGAGAGCCACAUAAUGCUUUAGAUGUCAUGGACUGUUCUUGUUCCCAGAAGUUGGACCCUAGAACUUCCUUGUCAGUGAUAUCACACAGGUUGACUGGUCAGGGACCAACGUAUCGUCUGUCAUGUCUCAUGGCUAAAUCAUGCUUCACCACACCUGCUUCAACCACAACCAGCCACGUCAAGCCUCGUUCUCAUUUCGACUGUUCAAUCUUCAGGCCCUCUGUCUGCUGUGCUUCACCAUUCCCUGCCCACCUCAGCCAUCAUUUCACU